UUAAUUUUUAUUUUAUUUUUUUUACCUACAGAAGUGUGAACGGGUGCUACUGGAGCUGCUCUGCCACGAGCCCUGCCGCCCCCUCCACCGUCUUUCCAGCUCCACAGAGAGCAGUGAUGCCAUCGACCUGACUCUGAUCCGUGCCAAGCUGCAGGGGAAGCUCUCCCCGACCUACACCAGCCCGGAGGAGUUCGCCGCUGACAUCGCUCGCAUGAUCCGCCAAUUCAACCGCCUGACAGAGGACAAAGCUGACGUGCAGUCCAUCCUGGGCGUGCAGCGCUUCUUCCAGGAGCAGCUCAGAGCUGCCUUCAGCAACAUCAGCUUCUCCACCCUCCUCGACCCCAGCAUGCCCUCGGAAGGGGCUGAAAGCAAUGCAGCAGCCCCCCCUGCCCCCCUCCCCGCCCCUCCUGUGGCCCCCUGAGCCUCCCCCCAUUGCUCUGGGCCGGAGGACAGCGGACUUGGCUGGGUAGACCUGUUAUCCUCAGCAAGGAGGAGGGGAGAGGGUUAAGGGAGGGGUAUCCCUACACUUCUCCCCCCCUCCCCUUCCCCAAGCUGUGAGACUCUCCCUGCAAUCCAUAA